UUAACACAUGCAAGUCGAACGAUGAACCUCGCUUGCGGGGGGAUUAGUGGCGAACGGGUGAGUAACACGUGAGUAACCUGCCCUUAACUCUGGGAUAAGCCUUGGAAACGGGGUCUAAUACUGGAUAUUGACUUUUCCUCGCAUGGGGAUUGGUUGAAAGAUUUAUUGGUUUUGGAUGGACUCGCGGCCUAUCAGCUUGUUGGUGAGGUAAUGGCUCACCAAGGCGACGACGGGUAGCCGGCCUGAGAGGGUGACCGGCCACACUGGGACUGAGACACGGCCCAGACUCCUACGGGAGGCAGCAGUGGGGAAUAUUGCACAAUGGGCGAAAGCCUGAUGCAGCGACGCCGCGUGAGGGAUGACGGCCUUCGGGUUGUAAACCUCUUUCAGUAGGGAACAAGGCCAGUGUUUAGCUGGUUGAGGGUACUUGCAGAAGAAGCGCCGGCUAACUACGUGCCAGCAGCCGCGGUAAUACGUAGGGCGCAAGCGUUAUCCGGAAUUAUUGGGCGUAAAGAGCUCGUAGGCGGUUUGUCGCGUCUGCCGUGAAAGUCCGGGGCUCAACCCCGGAUCUGCGGUGGGUACGGGCAGACUAGAGUGAUGUAGGGGAGACUGGAAUUCCUGGUGUAGCGGUGAAAUGCGCAGAUAUCAGGAGGAACACCGAUGGCGAAGGCAGGUCUCUGGGCAUUAACUGACGCUGAGGAGCGAAAGCAUGGGGAGCGAACAGGAUUAGAUACCCUGGUAGUCCAUGCCGUAAACGUUGGGCACUAGGUGUGGGGGACAUUCCACGUUUUCCGCGCCGUAGCUAACGCAUUAAGUGCCCCGCCUGGGGAGUACGCCGCAGGCUAAAAACUCAAAGAAUGACGGGGCCCGCACAGCGGCGGAGCAUGCGAUUAUCGAUGCACGCGAGAUCUUACAGCUUGACAUGACUGGAAACGCUGAAACAGUGCCCGCUGCGUCCGAUACAGUGAGAUGCAUGGAUGUCAUCAGCUCGAUCUGAAUGUAGUUAGUCCCCCACGAGGCACUCG
rnacentral:rRNA from 1 species